CUACGGGUCGCAGCAGUGGGGAAUAUUGGACAAUGGGCGAAAGCCUGAUCCAGCAAUGCCGCGUGUGUGAAGAAGGCCUGCGGGUUGUAAAGCACUUUCAGCUGGGAAGAUAAUGACGGUACCAGCAGAAGAAGCACCGGCUAACUCCGUGCCAGCAGCCGCGGUAAUACGGAGGGUGCAAGCGUUAAUCGGAAUUACUGGGCGUAAAGCGCACGUAGGUGGCUGAUUAAGUCAGAGGUGAAAGCCCCGGGCUUAACCUGGGAACUGCAUUUGAUACUGGUUGGCUAGAGUUUGGUAGAGGGAAGUGGAAUUCCGGGUGUAGCGGUGAAAUGCGUAGAUAGCCGGAGGAACACCAGUGGCGAAGGCGACUUCCUGGACCAAAACUGACACUGAGGUGCGAAAGCGUGGGUAGCAAACAGGAUUAGAUACCCCGGUAGUC
rnacentral:rRNA from 1 species